CACAGGAGAGAUAGAGGUAAAGAGAGAGCGAGGAAGGAAAAAGAGGAAGGGAUGAGAUGGCCCCUUCCACACUUCUCCCCUCCUGACUGUGUUGUGAAACUCUACACUGGGAGCGUAUUGCCUAUGCAUUCCUUCAGUUCCUAGAAAGCUUCAGAACCCUAGUCUGCAGCGUGGACUCCUCCAAGCAGCAACCCUAAGGUACCAGGGCCAGAGGCUAGAGGCAGGACCAAGGCCAGAGGCUUGAGCAAGGCCCAGGGAAGGACUUCUCCAAGCAGCAAUCCUGAGGUACCAGGGCCAGAGGCUAGAGCCAGGACCAGAGGUUAGAGCCAGGACCAGAGUUUAGAGCCAGGACCAGGGCAGGACUCCUCCAAGCAGCAACCCUGACGUACCAGGGCCAGAGGCUAGAGCCAGUGCCAGAGGCUAGAGCCAGGACCAGAGGCUAGAGCCAGGACCAGGGCAGGACUCCUCCAAGCAGCAACCCUGACAUACCAGGGCCAGAAGCUAGAGCCAGUGCCAGAGGUUUGAGCCAGGACCAGGGCAGGACUCCUCCAAGCAGCAACCCUGACAUACCAGGGCCAGAGGCUUGAGCCAGGACCAGGACUCAGGAGUAAGUAGGCCAAAGGUACUGGAAGCCAAGAACUGAGCUAAAGUUCAACCCUGGAGUUGUAACUUAUGGUUUGAGCCAACCCUUCCCAGGAAACCCGGGGUUUGAAUUCCUCAUCAAAGUGUGCGUGUGCGCUUCCGCCCAGAAUGUACAGUUGAAAAAGAGCUGGCCGUCAAUUUUUUAGUUACUGUGUCUGUGUGUGUUACUCGCACAUCGCACUCUUAGAAUUAAGGGGAACCCUGGAGACUUCGAGGAACCCUGGAGUUCCUCAGGGAACCAUUGGUAGUCAAUGGGUUCAUAUUUGCACCUUUUGUUAGUUGAGGGGUACUGGGAAGAACCUUUCAUCCUUCAAUGUAGCAAAGGCAUCCUGGAGAAAAGUGUAUAUAUUGUAGCUAUAUCUUCUAGAGGUGGCAGCUGAUCAGAAGAUUUGUGGCUUAUUUGGGGCGUGGCUUUCAAAAAGUUAUUUUUGACCACCCAUGAGAGUAAUUGUCAUUGCGGUUCAUGUGUUCAGUUGCAGAGUCAAUAAUAGAGCCUGACUGAUAAAUCGGUUGACCAAUAUAAAAAGAUGUAAUCAAA